ACUUGUCCACUGACAAUUAAUUAACCUUCAGAACUGCAACUUUUAAAUGACGCUGCCUUGAACCUCAUACAUCUUUCUUCCCAGUUCAGAAGCCUGAACAAGGAGCAAGUAACAUCUGCCUGCAACCAGAGUCCAUCCCCAAAAAGAUCAUCUGUUGUUAAUGAACCUCAAGAUGUAGUGAUGUGACUUGUUCAGUGAGACCUUGUACUCCUGGCAAGCAGAAUUACUCAACAUCUUUUGUGCUGAAGCACUUCAUGUGACAAAUAUUCACCCUAGCAAAAAGGCAAGUUUAAUCAAUAGUCUUUCUUCCACUUAACAAGACUUAGCAGAAAUCAUACUGUUUUUCUCAAAGUCUAAAACAAGCAGAGAAAAAUCUGUACAGUUAGUACAGUUUGACAAGAAUGACAAUCAGAAUGACAAGACAAUCUUAGUACACUCCUAGUGCAAGACAAUCUUUCUUACAUUUCAUAAAUUAAUUUGUGGUUACAAUAACACACAUUUUAGUAUAG
rnacentral:lncRNA from 1 species